UACAGAGGGUGCAAGCGUUAAUCGGAAUUACUGGGCGUAAAGCGUGCGUAGACGGUCAUGUAAGUCGGGUGUGAAAGCCCCGGGCUCAACCUGGGAAUUGCAUUCGGGACUGCAUGGCUAGGGUGCGGAAGAGGGAAGCGGAAUUUCCGGUGUAGCGGUGAAAUGCGUAGAUAUCGGAAGGAACACCAGUGGCGAAAGCGGCUUCCUGGUCCAGCACCGACGUUCAGGCACGAAAGCGUGGGGAGCAAACAGG
rnacentral:rRNA from 1 species